rnacentral:lncRNA from 1 species
GUCAGAUCAAUUUCCAGUGAGAUCAAGCUCAAGCUACUACCAGAACCAGCUAGUGGUGAAGGGCCAGCAAUUCCCAUCUGGAUCCAAAGAUCCAAGCAAACAAUCAAAAAAAAAGGAAACAUGAGAUGCGGCAAUUUCCACCACCAUGCCCUCCUCUUCCUCCCUUAUGGUGACCAUCGGUGGCUGUCGGGUGCAAGUCAGGUGUGAUCCGGGCA